GACGAACGCUGGCGGCGUGCUUAACACAUGCAAGUCGAACGGAAAGGCCCUGCUUUUGUGGGGUGCUCGAGUGGCGAACGGGUGAGUAACACGUGAGUAACCUGCCCUUGACUUUGGGAUAACUUCAGGAAACUGGGGCUCAUACCGCAUAUGAUCUCCUGCUCCAUGGUGGGCGUUGGAAAGUUUCGGCGGUUGGGGCUGGACUCGCGGCUUAUCCGCUUUUUUGUGUGGUAGUGGCUUACCAAGGCUUUGACGGGUAGCCGGCCUGAGAGGGUGACCGGCGACAUGGGGACUGAGAGAGGGAGCAGAAGGCAACGGGAGGCAGCAGGGGGGAGUAUGGCACAGUGGGGGGAAGCCAGAUGCAGCAACGCCGCGUGCGGGAUGACGGCCUUCGGGUUGUAAACCGAUUUGGCCUGUGACGAAGAGUGAGUGACGGUAAUGGGUAAAGAAGCACCGGCUAACUACGUG
rnacentral:rRNA from 1 species